AGAGUUUGAUUAUGGCUCAGGAUGAACGCUGGCGGCGUGCUUAACACAUGCAAGUCGAACGAGGCACCUUGCGGAAGUUUUCGGAUGGAAGCGGAGGCGACCGAGUGGCGGACGGGUGAGUAACGCGUGGGAACCUGCCCAGUUCCGGGGAUACCAGUUGGAAACGACUGUUAAUACCGCAUAAACGCACGGAAGGACAUCCUUUUUGUGUGAAAAACUGAGGUGGAAUGGGAUGGCCCCGCGUCUGAUUAGCCAGUUGGCAGGGUAACGGCCUACCAAAGCGACGAUCAGUAGCCGGCCUGAGAGGGCGACCGGCCACAUUGGGACUGAGACACGGCCCAAACUCCUACGGGAGGCAGCAGUGGGGAAUAUUGCACAAUGGGGGAAACCCUGAUGCAGCCGACGCCGCGUGAGUGAAGAAGUAUUUCGGUAUGUAAAGCUCUAUCAGCAGGGAAGAAGAUGACGGUACCUGCACAAGAAGCCCCGGCUAACUACGUGCCAGCCGCCGC
rnacentral:rRNA from 1 species